UACGAAGGGGACUAGCGUUGUUCGGAAUUACUGGGCGUAAAGCGCACGUAGGCGGAUUUGUAAGUCAGGGGUGAAAUCCCGGGGCUCAACCUCGGAACUGCCUUUGAUACUGCAAAUCUCGAGUCCGAUAGAGGAGAGUGGAAUUCCUGGUGUAGCGGUGAAAUGCGCAGAUAUCAGGAAGAACACCCGUGGCUAAGGCGGCUCUCUAGUACGGUACUGACGCUGAGACGCGAAAGCGUGGGGAGCGAACAGG
rnacentral:rRNA from 1 species